UGCUGGCCCCUUUAAGGCUCGGAGCCAUUCAGCGUCAUGGGGGUGUCACUUCCUCAAUCUCUUGGCAGGCAAUUUUCCAUAAAUAUGAGCGGUCUGUUCAGAGGCAGACAAGCACGCUUGGCCUAUGCUUUGGCGUCUUCCGACUUCUUGGCUGCAGCUGUUGUCGUCCCUCUUGCUCGACUCUCUUUCACUUGGGCACUCACUUUGUCCGAACUCCGGUUGCCUACGGUGCUCAACCUUUACCUGUUUCUACUGGUGGCUUCCUGGUAGGCUGCCACAGUUCUACUUGCGUUAUUCACUCCGACUGCCCACGGCACUCAACCUUUACCUGCUCCUACUAGUGACCUCGUAGUAGGUGGCCUUGGUCCUACUUGCGUUAUUCAUCAUCCAUACUCGGGUAUGUAACCGCAUUGUGCAUUUGCCUAGCUUUGGCGGCUAGCGCCUUGUUCUUCUGCUCUUUCGUGAUUGCUAAUUUUGGCUUCUGCAUGGCUUCUAGACUGUUCAGCCUUACUUGUUGCUUGGUGGCUUCAUAGUACGCUGCCCAUCUCGACCAGUGUCCUCGUUGUACUCAAGGGCUCCACGCUCGCCAACCUCGAACUGAUGGUAAGUCCCUCUCGGCUCCAAUACUUUUACUGCUGCCCCCGGCACCACUACUGGGGCUUAGCUAAUGUUGGCCUGUUGUUUGGCUUUAGGUUGCUGCUGUGACAGCCAUCCGUGUC